CGCUGGCGGCGUGCCUAAUACAUGCAAGUCGAACGCACUCUCGUUUAGAUUGAAGGAGCUUGCUCUGAUUGAUAAACAUUUGAGUGAGUGGCGGACGGGUGAGUAACACGUGGGUAACCUGCCCUAAAGUGGGGGAUAACAUUUGGAAACAGAUGCUAAUACCGCAUAAAACCUAACACCGCAUGGUGUAGGGUUGAAAGAUGGUUUCGGCUAUCACUUUAGGAUGGACCCGCGGUGCAUUAGUUAGUUGGGGAGGUAAAGGCUCACCAAGACCGUGAUGCAUAGCCGACCUGAGAGGGUAAUCGGCCACACUGGGACUGAGACACGGCCCAGACUCCUACGGGAGGCAGCAGUAGGGAAUCUUCCACAAUGGACGAAAGUCUGAUGGAGCAACGCCGCGUGAGUGAAGAAGAUUUUCGGAUCGUAAAACUCUGUUGUUGGAGAAGAAUGUAUCUGAUAGUAACUGAUCAGGUAGUGACGGUAUCCAACCAGAAAGCCACGGCUAACUACGUG
rnacentral:rRNA from 1 species